rnacentral:rRNA from 1 species
AAGGUUAGCUAAUCCUGGUCGGACAUCAGGAGGUUAGUGCAAUGGCAUAAGCUAGCUUGACUGCGAGCGUGACGGCGCGAGCAGGUGCGAAAGCAGGUCAUAGUGAUCCGGUGGUUCUGAAUGGAAGGGCCAUCGCUCAACGGAUAAAAGGUACUCCGGGGAUAACAGGCUGAUACCGCCCAAGAGUUCAUAUCGACGGCGGUGUUUGGCACCUCGAUGUCGGCUCAUCACAUCCUGGGGCUGAAGUAGGUCCCAAGGGUAUGGCUGUUCGCCAUUUAAAGUGGUACGCGAGCUGGGUUUAGAACGUCGUGAGACAGUUCGGUCCCUAUCUGCCGUGGGCGCUGGAGAAUUGAGGGGGGCUGCUCCUAGUACGAGAGGACCGGAGUGGACGCAUCACUGGUGUUCGGGUUGUCAUGCCAAUGGCACUGCCCGGUAGCUAAAUGCGGAAGAGAUAAGUGCUGAAAGCAUCUAAGCACGAAACUUGCCCCGAGAUGAGUUCUCCCUGAGACUUUAAGUCUCCUGAAGGAACGUUGAAGACGACGACGUUGAUAGGCCGGGUGUGUAAG